GGGAAGGAGGCAAAAUAAAUUCAAGACUCUUCAUUUAGACAUUUUAAAUUUAGUUGUAUUGUAAUUUUAAUUGUUUAAACUUUUUAGACAAACUCUUUGCAUCAUGGGCCAUAGUGGCAAUUUUGUAGAAGCCCAAAAUUAUAGGACACUUGGCACUUGGAACCCUUGGGAUUUAGGGUGGACCCCGUCCUCACAUUUUGAUGACACAUGAUCCUAGAAAAACACCAUCAGCCAUCACUUGCAGGGGGGCACAUUUAAAAUUGGUGCUGCAACGUUUUGGAAAAAAAAAAAAACUCUGGGUUUGGAACGUUAUUUUUCUAUGGAGUUUAUUUUGAAUAUUCAUGCUCUGGAUACUGGUUGAAGAAGCUGCGAUUUAUCUUUGUUUAUGCUUUACAUUUGCAAUUGAAAGCAUGAUGCUAAGACUAUUGAGCCGUCUCACAUUCUUCUUUAGCUUUUUCUUUGAGGUCUUUGUAGAGCUUUUGGGGAGAACAUUUUCACGUUGUUUUUGAUGGGUUGAAGGAAUGAAGAGCACGGAAGUGAAACCAACC
rnacentral:lncRNA from 1 species